rnacentral:tRNA from 1 species
GGCAAAGUGCCAGAGUGGUUAAUGGGUCAGCCUCGAAUGAGUGAGCUGAUGUCUUCGGACGCGCAGGUUCGAGUCCUGUCUUUGUCG